rnacentral:rRNA from 1 species
GACGAACGCUGGCGGCGUGCUUAACACAUGCAAGUCGAACGGAAAGGCCCUGCUUUUGUGGGGUGCUCGAGUGGCGAACGGGUGAGUAACACGUGAGUAACCUGCCCUUGACUUUGGGAUAACUUCAGGAAACUGGGGCUAAUACCGGAUAGGAGCUCCUGCUGCAUGGUGGGGGUUGGAAAGUUUCGGCGGUUGGGGAUGGACUCGCGGCUUAUCAGCUUGCUGGUGGGGUAGUGGCUUACCAAGGCUUUGACGGAUAGCCGGCAUGAGAGGGUGAACGGCCUCAUUGGGACUGAGGUACGGACCAGAGGCGUAUGGGGGGCAGCAGGGGGGAAUAUUGCACAAUGGGCGGAAGCCGGAUGCAGAGACGCCGCGUGCGGGAUGACGGCCUUCGGGUUGUAAACCGCUUUCGCCUGUGACGAAGCGGGAGUGACGGUAAUGGGUAAAGAAGCACCGGCUAACUACGUG